rnacentral:lncRNA from 1 species
GAACUGACUGGUGAGGCUUAAUCGUCGACCAAUGGGUCGAAUCUGCAUAAGGAAGGCAACCAGCACACACUCGCAGGCGGAUCGUGAAAACAUUUUUUUGUUUUUUCUCUUGGUCUGCCCCGCGUCGAAUUUUGAAGGCAGAAAAUGUCGGGAGGAGGCGAGCAUAACCAGGCCUAACUCAAACCUGUUAAAAGACAACCCGGUUUCGCAGCGCGAUUUUAAAAAACAAAAAUGAAGAAGUCAGAAAUUCUAUCUACAUGCUGCAUAUGAUCAGUCCCAAAAAAUUUCGGAUUGUUCCAGGCACCGUCGAAUACCUGGAAAACGUGUUUAUUGUCAACUCUACAGGAUCGACCGAAGUCCAUGGAGUUGGGGGGCAUUCGAUGUGCCCCAUAGCAGUGAGACGCCACUGUUUUUUUCGCCGAUAAUAUAAUUAUUAUGGUGGGACUGAAAAUGAACUUAAGCAAGAUGUGAUGGUGAUACAGUAUGGCUUGGAGAACUUCAAAAGUCGGUUCGCGUCGUGGUUCCAAAGCAGUAACUUUAGGUUCCCUACAUUUACAAAAUGUUGCAUUAAGUACUCAUUUUUUAAUUUGCAAUUUUUACAUUCAUUUUUACUUUU